CCUGCCCUGAGAGGCCUUGCAGCAUGGCUGCUGUGUGACAUGUGUGUCAGUAGGUGUCAGAGAAGAGGGAGGCUAUGUCUAAGCUCAGUGUUCUGACCUGUGGACAUCUGAAUGAUUAGAAGCCAAAUGCU
rnacentral:snoRNA from 1 species